rnacentral:rRNA from 1 species
UACGAGGGGGGCGAGCGUUGUUCGGAAUUAUUGGGCGUAAAGGGCGCGUAGGCGGUCGGAUAAGUCUUGUGUGAAAUCUUCGGGCUCAACUCGAAGUCUGCACAGGAAACUAUCUGGCUUGAGUGUGGGAGAGGUGAGUGGAAUUCCUGGUGUAGCGGUGAAAUGCGUAGAUAUCAGGAGGAACACCUGUGGCGAAGGCGGCUCACUGGUCCAUUGCUGACGCUGAGGUGCGAAAGCGUGGGGAGCAAACAGG